rnacentral:rRNA from 1 species
GAUGAACGCUGGCGGCGUGCCUAAUACAUGCAAGUCGAGCGAACAGACGAGGAGCUUGCUCCUCUGACGUUAGCGGCGGACGGGUGAGUAACACGUGGAUAACCUACCUAUAAGACUGGGAUAACUUCGGGAAACCGGAGCUAAUACCGGAUAAUAUAUUGAACCGCAUGGUUCAAUAGUGAAAGACGGUUUUGCUGUCACUUAUAGAUGGAUCCGCGCCGCAUUAGCUAGUUGGUAAGGUAACGGCUCACCAAGGCGACGAUGCGUAGCCGACCUGAGAGGGUGAUCGGCCACACUGGAACUGAGACACGGUCCAGACUCCUACGGGAGGCAGCAGUAGGGAAUCUUCCGCAAAGGGCGAAAGCCUGACGGAGCAACGCCGCGUGAGUGAUGAAGGUCUUCGGAUCGUAAAACUCUGUUAUUAGGGAAGAACAAAUGUGUAAGUAACUAUGCACGUCUUGACGGUACCUAAUCAGAAAGCCACGGCUAACUACGUG